CCUGGGGUGGCUCAGUGGUUGAGCAUCUGCUUUCAGUUCAGAUUGUGAUCCCAGGGUCCUGGGAUCGAGUCCCACAUCAGGC
rnacentral:tRNA from 1 species